rnacentral:rRNA from 1 species
ACGCUGGCGGCGUGCUAACACAUGCAAGUCGAGCGAGAAGCCAUUGACUGAAACUUCGGUAGAAGGAUAUGGUGGAAAGCGGCGGACGGGUGAGUAACGCGUAGGCAACCUGCCCCUUACAGAGGGAUAGCCAUUGGAAACGAUGAUUAAAACCUCAUAACGCAUCCCCCUCACAUGGAGGGGAUGCCAAAGAUUCAUCGGUAAGGGAUGGGCCUGCGUCUGAUUAGCUAGUUGGCGGGGUAACGGCCCACCAAGGCGACGAUCAGUAGCCGACCUGAGAGGGUGAUCGGCCACAUUGGAACUGAGACACGGUCCAAACUCCUACGGGAGGCAGCAGUGGGGAAUAUUGCACAAUGGGCGAAAGCCUGAUGCAGCAACGCCGCAUGAGGGAUGAAGGCCUUCGGGUCGUAAACCUCUGUCCUUGGGGAAGAAACAAAUGACGGUACCCAUGGAGGAAGCCCCGGCU